CCUACGGGAGGCAGCAGUGAGGAAUAUUGGUCAAUGGGCUUACGCCUGAACCAGCCAAGUCGCGUGAGGGAAGACUGCCCUAUGGGUUGUAAACCUCUUUUGUCAGGGAGCAAUUGGCGCUACGUGUAGCGUUAUCGAGAGUACCUGAAGAAAAAGCAUCGGCUAACUCCGUGCCAGCAGCCGCGGUAAUACGGAGGAUGCGAGCGUUAUCCGGAUUUAUUGGGUUUACAGGGUGCGUAGGCGGAAUGCCAAGUCAGCGGUAAAAUCGCGGGGCUCAACCUCGCUCCGCCGUUGAAACUGGCGUUCAUGAGUGGGCGAGAAGUAUGCGGACUGCGUGGUGUAGCGGUGAAAUGCAUAGGU
rnacentral:rRNA from 1 species